CCCAGAAUGACAAACAUUGUUAAGGUGUGCGGCUGAACUCGAAGAGCUCGUGCAGAGCUGCAGUUUUUUGGACGGGGAGCAGAGGAGGAGGAGAGGGAGGAAGCGAGGCUGCUGGGGAAGAGAGGAGAAGAAGAGGGGGAAUAAAAUCAGCGCACCGGUGAGACUGAACUUUCUGCUUUUAUAAAAGUCGUGUGGUUGGUGAUGGUAAGGAUGGAAGUCAGAGAUGAGACUUAAUGAGAUGAAAUAUAAUGAGUCAUUAUUUAGGGAUAAACUCAAAGGAGUCAUUUAAAGAAGUAUGCAAUGAUUAAUGAUUUCUUCGUGGCAUUAUCCCGAGCAUAAAAACCCUCAGAUUUUGUUAUGGUGUUGUAAGGUCUGUGGUGACAGGUGUCACGAGGACAGAAGCGCACGUGUGUUAUCGACUGCUGGCCCAAAGAUUGACCGGUUGCUAGAUUUCUAUCGCCUCACCAUGGGACCUCUUCAUUAGAGACACCCAGGAUCACAUCACUGCACACACACACACACACACACACACACACACACACACACACACACACACACACACACACACACACACACACACACGACAGCUUGCAAAAAAAAGAGAAAUAAUAAUAUAUAUAUAAUAAUAUCACUUUCUUGUAUUUUGAUUUUUGGCGUUAAUCUAAUUUAUUAAGCAUAUCAGCUGCGACCCCCACGUGAAUAAAAAAAUUGUAUUAAAUUAAAAACUAAUCCUUGGUUCAUCAAACUGUAUCUAACUCACUUUUUUUCCAGUCGAAUCCAAUUCAUCAAUAAUUCAUUAAUUAUUCCCAGAUAUUUGCUUUAAGUCGUGGUCGUUCAGGGAAACUCUUCGUCUGUGAUUAUGAUAUUGGUUUAUCAGCAGAGUUGAGUCUUGUAAGAUGAUCCUGAUCCCCGUUUCCGUGUUGUGUUCUCUCUGUGUUUAAUAAAUUGAGUGGGGUUUGGCCUGAAGCACAGUUCACAGAGUAUAAGGGCAUUAAGCUGACUGCUGCUCAUCAGGGGAGCGGGGCCCGUCUCAAAUGGAUAGUGAGAAAAAAGAAGAAAGCGAUUUACCCUCAUUUACCUCAUUGGAGGAAAUUUAAAGUUAACAUGAAAAAAAAAAGAUUUAGCAGCUUUAUUAAAAAAAUCUUUAAAAAAGCAUAAAUUAUGGAAGAGAAAUUACAUUUAUUAAAAUAUGACAUUUCGUCUUAAAUAAACAAGCCAACGAAGACAUUUAGCCUACUUGGUGUGUUUUGAUUUGCUGACUUCAAACAGCUCAGCAGAAAGCUCGAGCGCCUGUAGGUUGACAGACGUGACAUUUUACACCGAUUUUAAGACUCAGAAACUUAUCAGCUCCAUCCAUCACACACACAUAAAUACGCACACACAACUAAAUGCCUCGUAAGUGAGCCCAAAACACACACACACACACACACACACACACACACACACACACACACACACACACACACACACACACACACACACACACACACACACACAGCUCCCUCAGAGGUGGAAGAGGUGCUUCAGUGACUCCCUGUGUACCCACAGCUCUACAAAGAGGCGUUUAUAGCGUCUCAUUUUGAAGCUCACUAAAAGGCUAUGCGUAAAAAAGCGCAGCAGUCAAUCCAGUUUGAAACAAUAAAACACUCUCUCCAGAAUGGUGUUGAUUACAUAACCAAUAUUAAGACAAAUCCGUGUUUAUUUCAUGUCUCUUUGUCUUCACUCCUGUUUUGCUGAGUCGUAUAAGCCUAUCCUUAUCUGUCACAGUCAGAGUCUGAAAACUCAGCUCAUCCAGAACUGGCUCUGUACUUAGUCACUGGGAUUAUUUUUGGGCGUGAUGGGCGCAAAUGAAACCAAAAUAGGUCGUGACCCCCCUAUUUGCGCUCCACAUGAGUGCCAUGAGGGGUUCUGCAAGUUCUUAUUCUGAUGAGAUGACGCACUGUAUGAGCAUGAAUUUUGGCUAACAUGCAUUUACAAUCCCACAUUGGUGUAUAAAAGGUUUCUAGUUUUACUAGUAAUCACUGCAGAAUAUAAAACCGUGCUGAGGCUGAGUUAUACAAGUUUUUAAAAGUAUAAAGAGGGGCUCUUUGGGAGGAAACGGUUUGAGAUAAACGCUCCCCGAGGAAAGUGUCUCCCUCAUCCUGUUGACAUAUUUCAAUCAACACCUGCUCUCUCGCUCUUUGUUUCUUCUAAGCUCACCAGUUUCAACACUUGUUCAACUAGAAAGCCACUGAUAAGAAGGUUUAAUGAGCAGGAUGGAUGGGUUUUCUACUGCAAAAAAGAGGAGAUGCAUCAGAGCAUAUUCAACUACAAAAUAAAAGAACAAUACGAAGCAUCUUCUCUGAAUUUGGCUGAAGGAAGUGUGUUGUGUGAGUCGUGGCAGGUCAGAUAGGACCUGUGCUGGGCCCUUGACAGUGUUUGUAAACUGCUUGUUUCCAUGGAUCAGUUUGAUCAGAGGGAGACAGUCGCUGUUACAGCCGCUGAUGAAUGAAGAUCACAUUUCUCCUAAUAGCCACCCCCUCCUAUUUUCACAACCUCCCACUGAUCUCCAGCAAGACCUGCACUAAUUGAGCUGAUUAUUGCAAGAUGUGUGUUUUGGUGUGUGCUGUACUGUGUGUUCAGGUUGGAGGGGGGACGUGGCUUUUUAUUUUGUGAGACAUCUUCUACACACAGUGACUUGAGACAGGCACAACAAGGGGGUUGAUGAGUAACAGUCGUUCAGACAGACAUGCAAAAAAAUUAUUAAAGCCAGAACCCGUGUGUCUAUACUGGUUAGAGGGAUGUGAAUGAGGAGCCUAUCAAAUAAUUGGUUGUUUACAUCUAUCUUGUUACCCCAGAGGCCGGGGCUGUCCUGCAGAGCGAGGAGGAGAUUUCAAUAAACCACACAGGCAAGCAGCAGGGAGGGAGGGGCACAGGAGAGAGUGUGUGUGUGCGUCUGUGUGUGUGUGUGUGUGUGUGUGUGUGUGUGUGUGUGUGUGUGUGUGUGUGUGUGUGUGUGUAUCUGUGUGAAAGUGGUGGAGGUCUUGUCUUAAUUUACAGAGGGCUCUGACCGGACGGCAUGUUUGUCAGACUGAGUGGUUUAUAUUUCAGGUUAACUCUAGAAUCUGAAGGCCUGCAGAAAACACUAUAAUUUCACAGGCACUUAAAAUUGUCUGAAAAGCAUCACUUUCAGGACGUAGAAAUCACACCAAGAUAGAGUGAAGAAAUUCAGACAGAAAAUACAAUUUAAGUCUUUGCCUCUCAUAAGUCAGCUGUAAUUAUAAUGCGUACAGUGUCAAACUAAAUCUUUUUCUCAAAACUAAACUGUAUUAUAAUCAUCUAAUAUCAGGAAUGCCAUUUCAGUGCACAGAGAACCUGCUUGAGAUUUUUAGCUAUCCUUUCCUUUAAAGUGAAUCAAAGCAUCCAACUUGAAAAAACAGCUUGAGAAACACAAGACAACACCUUAACUCUAUUUAAAUAACCCUCUACAAGCUGGGUAGAUAUUUUGCAACAGGACUUGGCGAGACAAAAUAAAAGUACAAAUGUAAGCUUGAUAUUCACAAAGCAGCCGUAAAAAGACUUGAUUGAUGAUAUCUCAAAAUCUGUUAAGAUAAUCAAAAUGUAAUCCACUGUGCCAAACUAUGAACUGACGUCAAUCUGCAAUAGUAGUAACCUUGUUCUUAGCUAAUAAAAAAAAUUGGCUAAAGUCAGUUUUGGUGCACUGGUCUUCCAACAAAUAUGAAAUCAGAGUAUUCUGGAUUACAAAUUAAAAGCCUUGAAAUCAAGCAUAAUGUUUGCACUCAUGCUCUUACAUCUAAUACCCAGAAGCAAAAAAGCUGCACUCAGCAUAAAUACUUUGAAACAUACUUGCACCUAAAUUACAGCUGGCUUGAGUACCAGUGCAAACAGCAACAAGUGUCUGCUUUUCUGCAAGGCUGGUGAUUGGAGCUCAGGAGGAGCUGUGUGUGUUUUAGAGUGUGAAAGUGAGAGAGAAAGAGGGAGAGGGGGCGAGAGUAAGCUGACUGCUGCUGCUGCUGCUGCUGAGGUUAAUUUAUUCGAUCAAUCACUCCAUUUGAUUCCUGUUUAUUUUCAGGAGUCGCACGGUCAUUUCAGCCGCACACUGAGCCCUUUAUCCUCUGCCAAGGCGUUUCCCCCUCACAUCACUAAGAGCGUAUAGCAUGCAUGCGUCUACAAUUUGGAGGGGAGAAGAGUUCCAGCACCCUCAGACAUUUCACGGUUGCUAAUCUUUAUGGUGAAAUCUCCCCAGAGCUGUAUCCCUUCAAACAUGCAGGUAUAUGUCAGCUUCGCACAUAUGCUGAUUUAUGUAAGCCCUGAAAUUAUUUAGGCUAUCGUUUAUAAUUUAGCAAAUACAGCACAGGGGGAAAGUUUGUAGCCUUAGAUACUGUAUGUUUUUUUUCUGAUAGAAUAAAUCUGCAGAAAUAUGUUUAGUCUGAGCUGUGCAUUUCAAAGCCACAUGGUGUAAUAGCUGAUUUUGUUUAUAACACUAGAGCUUUUAAUGUAUAUAUAUAUUUUGUUUAUCUGACCCAAUAUAUAGGGUCCGAUAAACCCCAACCUGUUCUGUUUCAAAGUAGAGACGAGGAACAAAUAAUAGGAUCAUAAUAACUUUUUUCUGUUGGUCUUGUUAGAUUUGUGAGAGCAAAUAAAUACCUGUUUGGCCAGAAACAAGAGGGAGAAGUUUUAGCUCCAACCCCCAAACAAAUAAAAAGAGGACUGCGCUACAGUGCAGCAAAUGUUAUUAUACCAUGGAUGAAGCCAAUACUUGGAGCAAGACUUAUUUUGGAAACUUAAAUAAAGAGGGAAGCAUUAAGACAAAAUACAACAUGUCAAAACACUAACACAGAGCUUUUACAGUAUUUUCCUGGUCACAUUAUUAACUCUUGGAAAACAUGGCUAAGAUGGUCAGAUUUUAUUCCUCCUGAAGAACAUGUGUGAAUUCUAGGUCCAACCAGGGGACCCCAGGAUCCUGUGUGAACCAUAUAGAUCUCAUAAUAAAGUAUUUCUUUACACCCAUUCAGGGUUUUCUACUUCAAGCCAAAGUCUGCAAAAUUGCUUAAAGUCUCUCCCUUAUGCAACAUUCUUCCUUUUUACAGUGCUGGAACUCAUAUGUCAGGAAAGAAUUUAUUAAAAGUGACCCACAGUAAUUAGCAAUGUGCUAAUGCUUGAAUUUGUAUCCAGUCCUGUAUGCAGGCUUUUUACAACACUUGGUGGUUUGACUUGAAACACAGGCCUGACCCUGUGUCAGCAGCCAUAUGGCCAGUAAAUAGUUCCAUGAUAGAGUCAGAGUUGGUAGUGAUACUGUAUCAGAGAAGGACAUCUUAAUAUACAUUACAUUGCACCGCUUUUUGAAUGAGUGAUAGGUGCUUUGUUAUGUGUGUUCUGAUGCGCUUGUUUGAAGAGUUUUACUUGUAAUUAUCUCUGGUGUGUAAGGAAGCUUAGACAGCAAAACUUGCUACUCUACUUUUUACCACACACAUGCACCUAAUACGAUCAGGACUGAGAAGAGGUCCCACAUCCAGUGUGACAAGGGCUGCAGUCUCCAUAAUUUAGAAACCUCUCAGCCAACUACACUUAACUGCACAGAAACUAUAAUUUUGAGCACUUUAGAUUUCAGGGGGCACUGCUACAACAUGACAUCGGUAUUGGUUAUUUUGAUCAUUUGAGAUGACAGAAAACUUUCUCAUUCUAAACGUUUGAUUGCCUUUGGUGUGUUAGCAUGCUUACAUCUAAAGCACAAUAAAUAGCAGAGUCUUGUGAGAAACUGGUCAUUUUUGCAGGUAAUAAGAAAUCAAAAAGAACACCCAAAAAAUAAAAAAAAUAAAAAUUAAAAAAGUUAACCUAAUUGUAGCCCAGACUGUAAAAUGAGCUUAUCACUGACAGACAGACUGAAUGGUUGCUAAGACAUGUCACCCAAAACCGCAGAUUUAAUAACUAUGGUGAAACUGGUUUAUACUCUUGUGAGGAACUUUCUGUUCCUGGUGAUUUUGGUGUUCCCUGAGGAUAAAAACAGCACCUAUUAUCGUUUUGAUGAUUCAGUUUUGUGUAUCCCUGAUUUCUGUUGUUUAGCAAAAACAAAAACAUCAAAAGUCUUUGUUGUGGUCAAUAUAAAAAGGGAAAAAAAAAGCCCUUGACAGCAAGGCAUUAAUCACUCUGUAUGACAUCUAAUCCUGGCAGAGGUUAAAGACAGAAAUCGUCUGUACGCUAAUGGUUUUAGUUGCUUUUGUAGUUCAUAAAGAGACAUCAACAUUAAAGUAAGUAUUUUGGCAAUCAUUUUGAAUGUUGUUGGUACUUUGCAGUCUAAACCGUACAGGAUGAGUGACUGAAAGAUCAACAUUGCCACUGCUAGAGCCAUUCUGUUAGCUUUGCCGUUCGCAAAUGAAAAAAAAGAAAACCCCUUCCACAGAGAGACAGAUUCUCUCUUGCAGCUCAUAACUUAUUCUAAAGAGCACAAAUCACUUAAACCAGAGACUGAUUUAUGCUGUCAUCACAGCCCAGACCACCACAAAAAAGGAGGGUAUCCCCUCCACAUUUGUUGCUGUGUCUGUCUGUCUCUACAUUACAGUUCUCGCUUUAAUCUUUUCACAGCUUUUUGACAUGUAAUUCUCACUCAAACUCUGCAAAAUCCAUUUCAACUGAAGUCUCCAAGAAAUCCCAUUAACACUGUGCUUCCUUUCAUUGUCUAAAUGACUUCUAACUCAUUAAACCAAACCAUCCAUCAAACUUCUUGCUGUAAUUUGUUCACCAUUUGGCAUUGGAUUACAUAUUGUGAAGAUGAAGGCAAGUGUUUGCUUUGUAAAUAGAAGUGUGUCCCGGCAUAUCACUCAUUUGUUUUUAUAUGGAAGAAUUGAAUUUCAUGAUUGCUUUUUAAUUUCCCCUGUAGGGUAUAUUAAAUGGCUGCAAACCUCUGAAAGCUUUACGCAGGAAGCUAACAAUUAGAGUCAAUUUGAACACAUGCUAACCACAGCUAUGAGAGAGAAUAGAUGUGGCUGAGGCUGAAGAAAUAUCUAACACAUUGUUGCACCUAGUACUUAGCAACUUUUAAAAGUUUCCCACUUGAAAUAAAGUUUUAUAGUGCUUGUUACCAUCACUUUAGGGUCAGGAAGAUUGACUUUACUGAUUUUCACAAAGAAAACUUACUUGCAUUUUCUAAUGUAUAAUGUAGAAUGAGUGAAGAAACUGCUUGUUUAUAUGAUAAGCAUUAACGUCUGUGAGGAACUCUGUUGAUUUUGGCGCCCCCUGUGGACAAAGCAGUUUAUCACUGUUCCCCAUUAAAUUAUGUAUAAUCUAAUAAACUUUAUUUGCAUAGCACCUUUCUAGAAUGGUUGUCAGAAUUUAAAAAGGGUGAGACAACAAAACUAACAACAAAAAAGCAAGUGUAAACAAAUGGGGUUUCCAACGCUUUUUGAAGGUAUCCACAGUGCCCACAGUUCUUAGUCCUCGAGGAAGAGAGUUCCAAAGUUUUGGAGCAAAAAACUCAAAUGCACAGUCUCUUUUAGUUUGUAAUCUGGUCCGGGGGACAACCAGCAAACCCAAUGACUGUGCCAUCCAUUCAUGCAUCCAAGGAAGUCCACACAGACUUCACUUGCCCAACAACACUUCCAGCUCCUCCUACUGAAUUCCAAGGUGUUCCCAGGCCCUUCAGCAAGCACCGGGUCUACCCCAGGGCCUUGUCCCAGUUGAAUGCGCCUGAAACACCUCUGAAUGGGGAGUCCAGUAUGCAUCGUUAUCUAAUGCCUCAACCGCCUCCUUUUGAUGCCAAGGAGCAGCAACUCUACUCUUGAGGUCCAAGCUUCUGACUCUAUCUUAGUCCAACCACCCUUUGAAGGACAAUCAUUUAAGCCACUCGUAUCUGUGACAUGAUCUUAUGGAGCAAAACCCACAGCUCAUGAUCAUAGGGUCAGGGUUGGAAUGCAGACUAAAUAGUAAAUCAAAAGCCUUGCCUUCCAUCUCAUCUUCCUCUUCACUGUGACAGUCUGGCACAAUGUCUUGCACAGUCGAAUAUAUGAUCAGUUUUACCCUCAUGAAAGCAACACCCAAAGAGGUUUGAGCUCUCUCACUUCAGGCAAAGACUUGCUGCCCAUCUGGAGAAAGCAGUCCACCGUUUUCAGGUAGAGAACCAUGGCCUAGAGCUGCUGACUUUCAUCCCAGUCACUUUGCACUUGGUUGUAAACCACCCCAAAGCCUGCUGGAGGUCCCAGCCUAAAGAUGCCAACAGAACCAUAUCAUCUGCAUAAGUGAGGAGAUGGAAUUCCAAGGCUCCCAAACAAGAAACCUGUAGUGUUUUUUGAGCUGCAAGUCAUGUGAAGAUCCACUGUGGGUGUCCCAGGCUGACAUAAUGCAGGGUCAACAUUAGUAUAACAGCUUCCAUAUCCUUUCAUAUCCAAAAACAUCUCUCCAUUUUCUCAUGCAGGGAAUAAGGGAAUUAUUUGGCCAGCAGCAAACACCUAAUCAUUCUGACAAAGAACUACACAGACCAAAACAACAACAAUAUAAAACAAAAACCAUAAGGCCACAACUAUCAUCAGGUUUUGGGGAUCACAAUUUAAGAGAUAAUCAACCUUUGCAUGGUUGUGUUUCUUCGAAUGGCCAGAGAGCUACAAGGCAAGGACAAUUCCUGACACAUGCAUGCACAAGUAUUUCUCAUGCUGCUAUAAAAUAAAGCCCUGUAAAGUGGUGCCCCCCUGGCGACUGCAAGAAGACAUUUGUGUUUUGCUUCCUUUAGCGAGAGUGUUUGACCUCCUCUGAGAGGCCUCUAUGGACCACCAAGAGAAAGUCAAAGCCAAGCUGCUGCUGAUGAUGAUAUACUGUACAGUCUCAGCUAUGACAGAGCCAGUUUUCUGUACCCGCUCUGGAGGUCAUCUCUAGUAAAGACAUGCCUCUUGGCAUGCAGGCGGAUGAUGAGCCUUCACACAAGCAGAAAGAGGGGAUUACUGUCAAUUGCUCCCAAAUUGCAAUAAUACCCGCUGCCGGGCCACCCACACAUGUGCUGAGAGACAAGUGAUAAAUUGCUGCAUGUGUCCAUUCCACAGUGGCAACUCCUGACUCCAGCACACUGCCCACAAGCAUCUCCAUUCUUGUAGCGUGUCUGACAUGUGGAAACAAGUGGUGGGAUUUCUCUGUUAGAAACACUAUAAAUCAAAAAUGAUUACUUGGGUGCAGAGGUUCAAAAUUGCAAGCUCAUGUGAAAGCCUAACAUUUUAAUCGGGAACUUUUUCUUAAUAUCAUUUAUUUAUCACAAAUGAUUAGUUUUGAAACAUUUCUUUUUUCCCUAAGAGACUAAGUUAUAUCUAUUACACAUGGAGUGAGAGGUCAGAGUGAUUUAAUCAGUGCUCGGUCAAUUAACAGAAAGCUUUAUCUGAUCUGACGUUAGGCAUGGAAGAAAGGUGGUUGCUUUCAUAAGUAGUUUUAAUGCUUGUGAAUGUUGGUUUUUGAAAGUGCACCUUUUGGAAACGUGCACAGAUUUCACUGGCAAAGAACAACUGGUUUGCUCAACUGGUGCAUUCACUUAGCCUUAAUGAAGUUUAAUUCCCGAAUCUUAAAUCGUAUGCAUUCCCCAAAUCAAUUAUUUUCUUACAUCUAUAUCUUGAAUGCAUUUAAGUGACUUUUCUAGAGAGACACACGAAAAUCUAAAUGGUAACGACACCAGUUUGGCUUAGUGGUUAAUGCUUGUGCCACAUAUAGAGGCUGUAGAGGUCAUAGGUUUGACUCCUGGCCUCCACCCUAUGCUCUAUGUAUGUCCCCACUCUAUACUUCCCAUUAAGAAAACUGCUUUAGUGGCUUACAUUUGUUAACAGGCUUAACAUUAAAUAUAUAAUAUAUCUUUCUUUAAACCAACAUGUUUUGAAGAGGCAGAGAAAAAUGCUGAUAUGAGACAUUAUUAAACUGUUCAAAUUGUAAUUAAAAAUGGUGCAAAAGGUCUCACUUUAAUCAUUCAAAACACUCUUUGUCUGAUAUAGUACUGACAUGAACUGUUUGCAUGUUAAUAAGUGGUAAUAUGCUUAAGUUUAAUGGGUACAAAAAGAUUUAACAGGAAAAAGUUAAGUGUUGUCGUAGACACAGUCAUCAGUGUCUCAACAAUUACCAUAAAAUCAAAUUUGAUUUUACAAUUCAUCUUGUUUUUGCACAGUCUUAAAAGAUGGUUUAAAUUCAAAAAGUGUACUUGUGGGCUCAACAAGAUUACUGCAAAACUAUUUUUCAACUAUCAAAGGCAUCAACUGAACAACAUGUCAGAACCACCUCACUCAGACAUUUCCUCGCCUCUCAAAAUGAGUAAAACAUCAUAUUUUGAAAAUAAACCUUAAGUGUGUUCUCAUGUAGGGAUACAUGGCAAUCAGUCCUGAUUGUAUCAUUCCUCUGCAAAAGACUGGAGCAGAUGGCUAAUCCAGUCUCAGUAUCUAAUCAGAGCUGUCGUUCUAAUAGCAGUGUAAUUUCAUAAAAGGCCUUUUGUCUACGAAUAUUCAGGAGCAGCAUGGGGGAGAUCGCAGAUAUUCAUCAUCAGCAGACUGGAAACAGAGUCUAAUAAAUGACACAUUUGCUCCCUGCCUGUCUGUAACAGAGGAAUGGCAAAAUGCAGUGACUGUAGUACAGUGUGUGUGUGUGCGACUGGAGUGUGUGGGUGGACAGCAGCUGCAGAGCUUUGCAAUAGCAUUAGUGAAUAUGUAUGUGUAUGUUUGUCCAUGCAAUUAGUGUAUAUGUGUGAGAAAGAGUCUGUUUGUGUUGUAUUUUCAGAAAUGAAAGUUCAGUCAGGCUAAUAGAUGAGGAAUUAAUGUCGACUUUACACCUUCAGGUCAGGGCACUAAAAAGCCAAUAAGUGGUAAUGAUGCAGCUGUUGGCUCUUAAGUUGUGUGUGUGUACGUGUGUGCGUGUGCAGUUUUACAACUGUUGUUUUUCCUACAUGGUUUAUUUGCUCCUUCGCAGUCUUGAUUAUGAAAGUCUGAGAUGCUUCCAGAAGAAAAAAAAAUGAGCGAAUCAAAGAGGAACGACGCUACAAAAUCAGACGUGGCAGUAAAAUCCAGCCAUGUGUCUGUGUGUGCAGCACAUGGACACACCAUCCUGUGAAGAGACAUAUUAUUUACAGCACAGCGGGAAGUCACAGCCCAGCUCAGACAGACAAAAAAUAUAGAGAUGCAUGAGGGCAGGAUCUUCUUUUUAGCCAACUUAAUGCUCAGAGCCGUUUGUCAUGUUGGAUCUCUGCUCGCUGUUUCCUGAAAAACUGCAUGUAGUCUGGCGUUGUGCUUCUGCUAUUGGAAGGAGGUCAGGAAGUAACUAUCACACACACACAGUGAAUCUUUCUCUGACCUCAGGUAGAUGCUACACAUAUACAAAUAUAGUAGCAGGCCCCAUGCAACUUUGUAAGAAGUUGACCGAGAGGGCAGACGGAGUUGUAUUUACAUCAGUCGGUGUAAUUUUAUCAAUAAAAGCCAAGAGGACAGGAGCCCGCCAUAACUCAGGACAGGCAGAGAGCACCCCAGCUGUUUAGAGUUCAUCUUCCUCUGAAGCCAAGGGGUGGACAAAGAGAGAAGUUAGAGUGGGGACAAAGAUCCACAGGGAGGAAGGGAAAGGAGAAGAAAAGAGGAGGACAAAGACAAAAGAAGUGGGAAGUUGGUGAUGCUGAUUCAAGACAGCUUCUUUACCAGAGUGGUUUAUAGUUUCUGGAUAUACAACCAUUAAGGGAAGAUCUUUUUUUAAAUGGUUAGGUCCCACCACAUUAUGUCAUCUUGCUAACUUUUACUGAGAGAAGUCUAUAAAAUCCACAAGUAUAUCAUCCGUACAGAAAUUGUGGUGCGCACUUUUCCUGCUCUUCCUUUCGCUGUGAAAACCACAACAUGAUGUAAAACCCAGAUGACAUUAAGUCCUCAAUACUAUCAGCAGCUUUCACAUCAAACUGAGGAAUGUCGUAAAAGCAACUUUAUUCUGUAUUCACUGUGUUUACAUCACUUACAAUCCCUUAAAACUUUUCCCAUAUUCUUGUUGUAUCUGUGUUUUUUGAUGUGCUGCUGCUCUUUGCCAUGUGUUAUGUGUCUAAUAAUUUGGUUUGUCUGUAAAGUUUUAUGUUUUGUUUUAAUUGCAACCUGCUGAGAUGCUGCAAAUGUUUAUGCCCAUAAUACCCAACUAUACCUGCCUUUUGAUCCCAGUGACUUUAAACACUUUAAUAUUUGAACGACUGCAUCUGAGACAUAAAAUGCUAAAUGUCAACUUUAUCUCUUAAAAAACUGCAGUGAUGAUUGUUGGCUCUGGUUCAGCAGGAAUGGCUCUCUGUCAUGGCAUAAAAAUCUUGUCAAGAACCUCAUUCUGAAUCAGCACAUCAACCUAGCCUUGUUUUAUGCAGCUGAAGAGUCAUUUUUAUCCCUUUAUCUCCUCUUAUUUGGACUACUGCAACUCUUUGUAUACAUGUUUUAACCACCGAGUUUGUGCGAGAUACAGCUCAUUCAAAAUGCAGCAGCCCAACUUCUAACUUAACCUUGAAAGAGAGACCAUAUCUAUCCUCUUUAAGCUUUUCUUCACCGGCUCCUGAUAAAUUUUAGAAUUGAUUUUAGGAUUCAUAAACUCACAAAAGCACACUCUGGUCUUGCACUGGAGCACAGUUGUAAUCUCCUCACUCAAUACAUGCCUGGUAAAAACCUGAGGUCCUGAGCCAAGGCUCUGCUCGCCAUUCAGCAAUUGAGGCUGAAGACGAAAAGGGACCAGGUCUUUUCUGUUCGAGCCCUGCACCCUCUGGAACAUCCUCUCUGAGGAGAUCAGACAAACAACAUCUUCAUCAUCUUUGGAUCUCUUUUCAAAACACAGUAUGAUGGAUGGAUUUUUACAGGAGUGUGUUUGAAUCCUCUAGAUGCUGCUUUUAUUCAAAUUUCAGGUAGAAUCACAGGCAGGAUCUUGUCUCGCUUAUCUUGUGAUCAUUGGAAUUUUGUUUUACUUUUUCUGGGUUUUGCUUCUCCUGACUUUUUUUUAAUAUUAACUUUUAGUUUCAGUCUUUUAAACAUUCAAAUACUUAUUUUCUUUCUUUGGUGGUCCUAAUCCUUUUGUUUUAUUUCCUUCUCAUUUCUUUCAAUGUGGCUCUUAUGUUAACUUUAUACAGUUUAUUUUAUUUUCAUCAGUUAAGUCAGUUUAUAAAUAGUUACAAAAUAAAGCUCUAUUAUUUUUAUCAUGUGAUUAUUAUUAUUAGUAUUAUUAUUAUUUAGAAAACCAAGCUACUCGAGUGCAGCACAUUAAACAGUAACUGUUAUGUUAUUGAAAAAAUAAAUAGAAAAAUGAGAAUUAUUAUUAAAAUUAAUAAAACAAAAGUUUAAAAAGAGACUUGCAGAUUUAUUUACAAUAACUCUGUUGAUCCAUGAACUGGUCAGACUUGGGUCCUACUGUCAUUGAUGCAAUUCUGAUAUCAUUAGUGUAUAAUGGGAUCAAUUUAUGUUGAACUGUUUUUUUUAAGUAUUAAGAUUUUUUCCUGGUUUGUUGUUGUUGUUCUGUUCCAAAUAAUUCAACCAGGUUUGAUUGUGCUAUAGUGUGCAUUAUUUGGACACUGUUUCUACAUUAGAUUUCUGCUUAAUAACCCAGCUUAACGUCCAACAGAAAACCAAAUUCUCUCCGAUGGUAACCCGGAUGGUUCUGUGAGUCAUGGAGUGCAUUUGGUUGAUGAAUUCAAUCUGAACCAAUAGAUGUUUGACUUUCUUUCAUGCCAGUAAUCAGUUUUUUUUUUCUUAAAAAUUAGGUGUCAGGUCUCAUUUUGGAGCCUUGCUCAUCAAAUCCUUCAUCACCGGCCCACUCAGUUCCCCUGCAGACACUGGCUGACCUCAUCAAGUGACCUCACCAAUCAAAGAUCAAAGUGGUCGGGUUUCUGGCUGCUCAGGUUAAUCAGAGGACCACCCCGAAGAGCCAAUCAGGUAACAUCUUACUCGACUUAAAGGAAUUAGGCUGCAUUUGACCCAAAACUCUGUACAUUUGGGGCUUUUCUUUUUUGUGUGGUGUGUGCAUGUCCAGAAUUUCAUUUUAUUCGUUGUUAGUCAUUUGUUUAAUUUGGGCCUCCAGGGAUUUGGGUGAAUGUGCACAAAUUAAUAGUGAGUGAGUCAGCUGAAGGAAAGGAAAUGAUUAACUCAGGUCUUAUUUUGAAACUUCAUCUAUUGUCCAUGCUGUUUACUUUAAGUAUUUAUAUGAGUAGUAUUUAAAUAUAAACCCAGUGUUUGAAAUUCCACUUCAAGAACAAAUCCGGUCAGGUUCUGAUCUGAGCGGUGUUUGUGGAUAGAGUGUGCAUGUGUCCUUACAUUUAUGUGCAUGUGUGUGUGUGUGUUGCUCUUGUAUUGCUGGCCCCUUUUGAGGGGAAGUGACAUGAGAUACUUAAAGACCAAAAUUGCCUCACUUAGCCGAACAAACUUGCACUCCUGGCACACACACACAUUCACACUUGUGCACAUACAUGCAUGUCUCUCGCUCUCUAAUAGCCAAUAAAGUCAGGAUGUUCAUUCCUCCUCUCAGGCUCACAAAAACCAAACGGCAAAAUUAUUGAGAGUAAACGGAUUCCACUGUAGCUCUGCACUAAUGGCCACACACGCACCCACAUGUAGACACAAAUAUACACACACAGAGAGACACACACACACAGGGUCAGUGAAGGCUGAAGUAGAUAGAAUGUACAUAAUAACUCUAACAUGGCUUUUAUAAGCCUUCAGCUCGUCUGAAAGGACAGCGGCUGGGAGAGAACGCAGGCCUGUAUAUAAAAAUACUGCAGAGAGACUUUGAAGUUUUUUCUGCUCUAUCUUUGCUCCGAGUCCUUGCACAUAAAGAUGUUCACAUAAACAGAAACAUUACUGGUGAAUUAAAACAUGCAGGUGGGUUCUAGUUCUGAGACAAAAUUACUGCCAAAAGGUCAAACACACAGGACAGCUCUGAUUCUUGGAGACAAUCAUCACUUCAAACUUUUUGAUCUCAAAUUGUCCUCGUAGAUGAAAUCCUCAAGUCUUUUAGAAACCCAACAAAAGUCAAAGUGUUGUUAGAUAGAGUUUUUGUUUGCAACAGAGGAUGGUUCAAGGUAUCCUUUGCACUAAAAUACUCCACUCUGCACAUAAAUAUAUAAUAUAAAAUAGAGUCAUGGGGUUUUGUUGCAGAGAAACAGACACUGCUUCCAAAAAGUUUACAGUUCAUUUCCUCCCUUGUCUUAAUACUCCCAUUUGACCCAUUUACAAAUUAUUGUCCCAUCUCACAUGGUAAAUUUACUUCCCCUCCGAAGGACAAUUUUUCCUCUAAUCCCUCUACAAAUUUUAAGAUUUCUGUCAUUUUAUAGGGAUGGAUUAGAGGGGGAUGUAGGCCACGAACAGUGCUAGUGUGUGUGUGUGUGUAAGAGUGGGGAAUCCAUCCCCCCAAUACUUCUAAUGGUUUCUUUAGAGACCAUAUGUCCUUUGCGUCAGCACAGCAGCAGUACAACUUCUUCAGUUACAGUCAGGCUGGGUGUGAAAGACAGACAUGUUGUAUAAUAGAGGGUAGAAGGUGGAAGGUGGAGGGCAGUAAGGUGUGCAAAUGUGUGUGUGUUUGUGUGUAGGUGUGUGUGUGUGGAGCAGAGGGGGAGCUGAAGAGUGUUUUUGAAGAAGCAGAUCUCUCCAUAUUGCCUUACCAUCAAUAAAUCUAGGAGCUUGCUAUAGUGCUGACAUAAAUUAGCCUGCAACCCCAACCCACCUAAUUCACAACCCUAACCUUUCCUUUACUGCACACACACUCUCUCUCACACACACACAAAGACACACAUAUAGUAAAACACUACCUUUCUACCCCACAGUCUCAUGUUGAACCUAAACAUCAAUGAGGGCUCUGCUCCUCUCUUCACUAUUACACACAUGCAUCCAUGCACACUUCGCACACUCACACACACACAUAGUUUGGGGUAAUUAGCGUUCUUCCUCGGUGGUGAGUGUGUUUCCUCCUCAGGGUCACUGAUAGCAAAACGCCUGUUAAACUUUAUAUUCCCUGAUGGGGCGGAAAAGAGCGAAACAGAAGGAGUGUACACUCUCAUUAACACACGACCUGUGUUUAUGUGUGUGUACACCUGGAGUAGAGCAUGUGUGUGGCGUUUUCAUGCUUGGGCAGUGUCUUAAAAAGGUGAAAGGAUACUCUUGUUUAGACACAGCUUUAAAAUUGAAAACUAGAGAACUGUAUGUUAGGAUGAGGAUGGACGAUGUAGAUUUUCACACCUCACGUAUAGUUCCUUUAGACAACUUUAUACAUCAUCAAAAUAAAAUGAAGACUAGAAUACAUUUUUCCUCUGUGAUCUUGAAUUAAAAGUGAAUUUCCAUUUCUGCUACAAAACUUUGAUCACAUUAUGUGACCCAUAACAGAAACAUUGUUUCUGAACAAACUAAUGCUUGAGAGAUACUAAUGCUUGUUUAAAAGACAUAAUUUUUGAAAAAAAUAUUGUCCACUUUGAGGCUACAAAGAUUGUUUGGCUGCUUUGUUUUGUAUGACUGGAAAGAAUAAUUGGAAUGGAAAGGUUUUGGAAAAAUGAAUCAGACCAAAGUUAUUUUUACAUAGCAUCCUUGGCUUUCGAAAUGUGCAUGAUUGAUCGUGAUUUUUCUGAGGUGAGGUUUCUGGGUAAACAAAAGACUCAUGACUACUUCAACAAAGACAAGUAAUUAUUAUGUGAGACCAUGGCUCCCACUGAGCAUUUUUUGGUCUAAAAGACGUCUAAAUGUAGCCUAGGCGACUGGUCUAAAAUCAGGCUACUGAGUCUAUGAAUGAAGGUUUUUUAGACAUCUAAAUUUGACCAAGUUUAGACCAAGUUGAAAUCGAGGCUAUAUCUAUACUACACUGAAUGUUGCUCAACAGCUAUCAUAAUAAUUUAUAAUGUGUAUGAAGAGAGGGAAGGAAGGGCUUGAGAAUAUUUUUUCGACCAUAGGAGGACUCCCAAGAAAGUUUGUGAACCACUAAUUUAAGUAAUAUUAUGUGUUUAGUGGGUGCAUAUGAUUGAGUUGAGACAGUACAAAAUAGUGUUAAAUAAUCCUGCAGUGUUAGACAACAUUUAAACUGCUGUUAUCUAUUUAUCCAAUGCAAUAACCAGCCGAUUUACAUCAUGCACAAGAUAAAUAAGCAUGUCUGAUACCUAAAAAGACCAAAGCUGUAAAAAGUGAGAGGAAAUACCAAACACAUCAAUGAUGAAAUUGAUUAAUCUGCCACAUCCAUUCACACUGUUCACUCUCUGUGUCAUCACUUUUCCUGUUUAUAAAAAGUGAGAUUUUGAUGGACUCAGCAGAAAAAGCAGCUCUGAGGCACUCUCAGGCUCCGAGGACGUUUGAAAACAGCCUCACUUUGGGUGAAUUAAAGAGAUUCUGUAGAUAGCUGUGAAAGCUUAUCCUGUGCACCUCAGCAGAAUGUAAAGCCCUUUUUCUUAUGUGAUCAUUUGAGGUAAUUGAAUAAAUUCCCAGAGCUCUGUGCGGAAUUAGAAGAAGCGAGACUUUGGUCAGAGGAGAGCUUUUAAGAAACCCAGGAACACACAUCAGAGAGCCAGCGGUCGAUGCUAAUGUAAUGAACGUUUACAUUUACCUGCCUCUCACCUUUCCUUUUGGUGUAUAUCUGCAAGCCUAACCGCUCUCGUUCAGUUUGUUUUCAUAAAUAUACUCUAUCUCUUUUUUCCCCCAUCUCUGGCCUACCUUCAGCGUGAAGCAUUUGGUGUUUCAGAGAGGGAGCUGUGUGUGGAGGGGAAGGGGGGUUGUGAAGCCUGUGCACGAUGCCAGAACUCGCACUUCUGGUUGGAAAAAAGGGGUCUGAGUUUUUCGUCAGACGUGCGGCGCAGACAGACACGGUGAAGGAAAGGCUUUUUGAAAGCAGGGGCCAAGAGCAACAGAAAACACUCCCUCUUGACCGUGUGGUCAAAAAUGGGUGUAGAGGGAGAGGCGGCAUCUGGCUGCCCGCCUGGCGAGAGAAGGGGGAGCAAAUGUACCCGCUUCAUGAUGUGCCUCCUCUGCUGCCAGAUGCAGGGUAAGGGUUUAAGGAAGAGAACAGGUAGAGCUGAGAAGGUAAGACAGGCUGGCAUAGAAACAGCAUCAGAGAGUGAGACAGGCAGACAGGCAGACGGAAUGAGGUAUAAAAGCGCCAUGGAGGAGGAUACUGAGAAGAGCAGAGGCGUAUCAUGAACAAGGUCAGAAAGACACGGCUAGGAAGAACAGGAAAUGAUACAGGAUAUAUCCUCUCAUUCUCUCUCUCUCAGCCUGUGCUGUAAGUGACAGCGCUGCAGAGGGAAGUUGACAUUGCUGAAGUAUGAAUUUCACCCGUUUGUGUUUUGUGGAAAACACAGAAUCGAGGCUGUCGGACUGGAUCAGGCGGCUGCACCCUUGACCCCUGGUUGCCCCCUCCGAAGCAGACGGCAGGAUUUUAUUGGCCAGUCAGGUUCAAUUUAUUAAACACUACGCAACUCUAUUCUCAGCUUUUGAGUUAAGCUUUCCAAAUGUGGUUGUGAUAUGCAUUUGGACAUGGAUAUAAAAAGGUAUUUCAGCCUUUUCGGUGAUAGAUUCACGCUGUUUUCCUCACAGUGUCACAGCUAAACUAGCGUGUAUGCUAACCUAUAAAACAGAUGCACGCACCAAACAGUGGACGUCUUUAAAACAAUACUCCUUCAGCUUUUUUUUUAAAUACAUGUUUUGGCCACCUGUAUUUUUUUCAGUUCAAAAUGAAAGCAACAUGUUGUACGAGAGACAAAUUGACUCGGGGCGGAUUCUUUAGACGUAAAGAUUCUUUGGAAAGAAAACGAGAAUGUUUGUCUCAAACAAAUACAAACAGAUGCACCAAUCAGAAUGCACUCAUCUAACAACCACUGAUGUUUUUUCUGAAGUGAAAUGAAAGGAAAUAUUCUACUUAUUCAGACUGACUUGGGAAAGAAAACCUGAGUCUCAAUCGGAAAUACAAACAAAAUGCAUGUAGCACGCAAGUUAACAUACGGGAAUACACAAAUAUAUUUGCACACGUCUGCACGCACACACACACACUCGCGCGCAUGCAGAACAGCUGGUAACUGGAUAUCCUCGGCGUUGGACAAGUUGGGUAAAGUGAGACCUUCCUGUAAUCAAAAGAAACAGCGUUCUACAAUAAAGGUUGUUUUGAAACGGUCUGUACCCUGGAGGAUGGAUCCUUCUACAGGAAUGAGGAAGAGAAAACAGACACAUAGAAAGAAAAGAAAAGACAGUAUAAGAGAGCAGCAGAGAGGUGGUGAACUGAGCAAUCUGAACAACAUUAUGUUGUGCAGCCCUGAGAUCUCUUUUCUAUUCUCUCUUUAUCUUCUUCUCUUUUGUCUUCUCCUCUUUUCUCCUGACUUUGCAGGUCGUAGUGUGUUUGUGGGUCUCUUGGGUGACAUCCAUCACUUGAAUGGAUGGAGGCUCUGUAACAGCAGCGCUAUAGUGAAAGCAAGGCUGGGCGUAUUCCCUUUCCAAAAUCUACAAAAGAGCACCGGUCUGGAAUCAAUCUGCUAUCACACUACUGGACUGAAAACACACACAAACACACACAUUUUCAUCUUUAGCCCUGGUGCGACUGUGCUGUGCUAUUUUUCAUCCCUGUUAGUUUAUGUGUUGUAAUGUUGGAUCAGGUCUGGGAUCUGCUUCUCCGCUACAUCUCUGGCUUCACCUGCUGCUGAAGCUCUUUACCAGAGCUCUGGGAGUUAACGGCUGCCAUAAAUAGUCGGAGGAGUGUGUGCAGCGGCCUGCAGGGCAGCGUGGGGCAAAGAUAUAUCUGACAGGAAAAAGAAAAUCUCUGCUCCAUGCUACCUGCAGUAAAAAGCCACCUUCAGGUAUGUGAGGCUGCAGAUCUGAUGCAAGUUGAUUUUGCAAAAUAAAGAAAUGAAUAAAGAGAAAGUAUGUGAGGUGUCUUCGGCACACUUAAUUUGAUUUGUAAGCUACUGUCUGGAAAACUGAUUGCACAUGGACAGAGCAUUUACAGCAUGACAUAAAUAAAGUCAGUUUAGAGCGCAAGAGGAUCAAAAUUUGUUUUUAAUACAUGAUGCCAAAGAAUUUGAUUUCGGCAGUUUGACCUGAUAUGAUACGUCUCACCAGACAAUGAUGGGGUUCAAAUGAGAAGGAAGUAAAUAGUGCACUAAGUACAGAUCUACGUACGCACAGUAUUUACCAGAAAGCACAAAAUAUAAAGAACUUAGAUAGUGAAGUUAAUCGUGCAAACAUGCCCAAAUAUUUUUCUUUUUGCCCACAUUUACUGGUAGUAGUUGACACUCCUCCUUCAUAACUUGUGUACUAUAAACAGAUUUGAACCAGUUAUCUGAGACAGUUUUUCAUGAACGACCUUCAUCUUUUUAUCUUUAUAUUAAAAAAUGUCUUAUUAACUAUUUCAGAACAUAAAAUACACUUCAAAAUACUUUCAAUGAAAAGACCACUAGAGGUAAAAUACAACGUAUUCACAUACAUAUGAUAGAUAAAGAGUCAGGUCUUAAGCUUGCUAAAGAGCAGGAAUGUAAAAACACCCAUGAUCACUACAUAGACCUUAGAUAGAAAAUGCCUUAAAAUAAAUUCCCUGUUAUAUUCAGUAUAUUUCAGGAUUUUGAAAUGUCAACUGCAAUGAAAACCUAUGAAAACAUAUUGUACUUUCAGGGCUGUGCCAGUAAAAUUGACUGAAUACAUCAGGUAUGCACUGAGAUUGGAUUUUAAGAAAGUGCAACAGGUGUCAUUAACACUCAAAGAGGAGUUUGUAAAAGAAUUAUCAAGUGUGUGAAAUAGUCAUAGAGUGGCCAGGACAGCAUAAGAGAUCGUCAUCGGGUGUGCACAAUUGUACUAAUAAUAUUUAAUAAAGAGCUGCACAUAAUGCCAAACUAAAAGAAUCCCUUACGUAAGAGCAAAAGAGGAAUGUGAUUUAGCGCUAGAGAAAAGAAGAGAUCAAAAUAAUUAGGACAACAAAAUCAUAAGGAUGUUCAGCAGUGAUCUGGGUGUGUAUUGCGUGGUGAAAUGGUUAUUAUUUUCUAUUUUAAAAGGGAUCGACAUCAUUAGUCCUGAAACUUCUGAUACUGAUUACUCUUUGUGCUUACAGGUUAAAGAUGCCCAGUGGAUUUAUCUAUUUGCUAUUUUAAAGUAUUGUGAGUCAGAGGAAGCCAGACAUUUCUAUCAAACAUCAUACGGUGACUCAGAGUGAGACUCCCAAGUCUUCACCCUGCACUAAAUGAACAGACAGCAUAUUGUUCCUCUGUGGCUCUUUGCCGCCUCACCUCUGCCUCCGCCUGCUUAAUUAAAGGAUAAUUACCCAGAAUAAGAACGCACCACCAGCGAACGACCACAUGUCUCUUUCCAUCCAUGCAGAGUGCAGUGUGUGUGUGUGUGUGUGUACGUGUGUGUGUGUGUGCGGGGAAGGGUCGGAUAUCUGGAAUUUAUCAACUUGUUCAGGAAAUGAGAGCCAAGCCCUACCUAACUCUAAAAGUGUGUGAGCAGGUACAAAACCAACAUAUGGGAGUGUGUGUAGUGUGUAUUCACGCAUACUACACACACACUCGCAAGAAUUCAGCUCUCCUUCUGUCAUUUUUAAUCAAGAAUAUGAUCCCUCAUCCCAUCUGGGUUCUCUGACUUGGUGGGCUGCAGCAUGCGCACUUAAACACAUCUAAUAGUAAAGAAGCUCAGAAAUACACACACAUGCGGACACACACACACACACUCAUACAUGUAAACAUGGACAAUGUGAGGGGUUACUAUGUUUUGACUUAUUCAAUAGCAGAUGGUCCUAUCCUUGGAGCUGAUAGGAGUAGCUAACAUAGAAGCGACCCUGAUUAACAAACACAAACAUGUAAAGAAAAUAACUUUGUUUUCGAGCUCCAUUUUCAAAACAAGCGGCCUAGCUGUCCAUAUUUUGUAUUAUUCUGUCUUUCGGGUUGAAUUAGUCGAGUAAAUCCCCGUCCUGUUAUCAGACGCCUCCUUAUCACAUCACAAUCUCCUCCGCUCACUCACUGAAGCGGCUGCUGUGUCUGUGUGUGUACACGUGUAUGCCUAUGCAUGUGAGUGUAUGUGUGUGCUCAGGGACAGAGGUCAAUAAGAUAACAUUUGGUGGACCACCUGCCGGGAAGCUCAGUUUGCUCAAUACAAAGUCUCAGCUAACCUGUGACUGUGUGUGCAUGUGUCUGUGCUCAUGUGUCGGGGGUUUACCUCAACAACCAAGGUGCAAAGGAUUUGAUUACUGAUAAAGUUUAAGGACAAGAACCGUGUGAAGAAGACGAGGUUUAAAGGAAAAGACUGACAUGGGAACAAACACUAAAACCAGGCAAGACCGUGAGAUCAUACAAUACACCAUUUAGUCCUCUUACAACGUUUGUUAGACUUCCGUUAACUCUAACUCUUCACUUCAAUUCAACAAUAAGGAUGAGAAUAUACAAUAAUGUAUUCUCAUUGUAACAAGGGGAAUUAGUUCUCUCAAGAGCAAUAGGGACAACCUGAUCAUACCCGUCAUAAAAACUUAAUUUGCUCAGCACAUUUUAACUUUUGCCUGUUGACACUGUGGCAAAAACAUAAACCCGUAAGUAGCAGUAAUAAUUACAACAAUGUUAAAAGUUAAAGCCUUUUUUCUUGGAAUCUUUUAAUGUCCAUUAAUCCCUUUAAUCUAUUUUGCUUUCUUAUACUUGAUGUAUUUAUCAUCUGAUUCAUCACUUUUACUCUGUUAAUUUGCAUUUAUUCUCAUUAACUUAUGAUACUCGAUUUUUUGUAGACUUCUCUCUGCCUGGUCUAACUAUAAAAUGUUUAUUUAGUUAUCCUCCUAAGUCCCUGUCUUGCUUUAAACAUUUUGUCAAAUGUGUUAUAUAUAUGAAAAAAGCUUUUAGUCAACAAUUUACUCCUUAUUUUUGUUUUUAGGUGUGUCAACUCCAAAGCCCAAAGAAGACAGACCUCCUCUGCUCUUGCUCACCCUGCUGAAAUUUUGAUUUGUAUGACAACUCACCAUUCUUUAUACAUUAUCCAUUUCAUUGAUGAAAACCUAUCAGUGAAAGGUGUCUUCUUUUUAACUGCUUUUCAUUUUUACAGACAUCCCCAUUUCUCUCUCAGUCUAUUGCUAUCAAGAAAGUGUUAUCAAAUAAGGGGAAAAGAAAAUGAGUCUAUUCUGAAAAAAGCUUUCAUAGAAUUGAUGAUCAUGUCAAAACCAGAGACAAUUUAUGAGACAAACAAGCUGAGAAACAAAUCAUGCACAGCAGAGAAAAUACUCUACUUUUGUGUUGCUAUUGGAGUGGACUUUAACAAGUCCUUCUACCAGUUUACUACCUCAUAACCUGGAGGAGAGGGUUGUCUACAUCAUUAGCUUUUACCAACUACACUGAUAACAGCCUACAGGGUGGUUCAAACAUGGAAACAGAGAAGGAGUGAAACACCAAUAAAGAAAACCGCUCCAAAAAGUCCGUCCAGUUAAUUCAGCUUUAGAUAAAACAUGAACUCUGAGCGUUUGAGAGAAAAUAAAGAUGAACUGAAUGUUUAAUUUUGCGAUCAUUUGGCCGUGAGACUUUUAGUGUGUCUUGCGCAUCUGCCUCACAACCAGAGGAAUUUUAAUUGUCUAAGACAAAGGAAGAUUUAAUCUAUCUUUCACUCUUUUACUCUCUUUCCUCCCUUUUUUUCUUGCCGUCCUUUCUUCCAUGAAACAAUAAAAUCGUCUGGCCUCUAAGUUAUGGAGAGCGUUUGAAGUGGCUGGAGGAGCCAGUAAAUUUAGUGGGCACCUUUGGGAGUCGGUUCAGCGGAGCAGUGGCUGCACCUAUAUUUCAUGUGUGCAUGUGCACGUGCCUGUGUGAGCAUGUGUGUGUGUGUUUGCAUGUCCAUGUGUGCUCACAAGGCUGUGACUGUGUAUCUAUGUGUCAUACAGAUUAUGUGUGUGCAUGAGUGUGUGUGUGUGAGUGUAUUUGUUCGUGUGGCUCUAUUUCAUAGUCACGCUGAUUUGUGGUCGUCUACAUCAAGUUUCUCAGGAUGCUGUAAAUCUCGCUGUACAAACUGCAUUGAGAAAGAUACACACACGUGUUUGUGUAUGAUUUGGUAAGUGCACUUACAUUAUAGUUUUGCAUAUGUUGUAAGGUUUUGUUGUUUGCUGACAACCAUUUCUCGAAAAAUUUGCAAUGAAACUGGAACUGCUGGAGCUCGCUGGUUUUACUUAUUCAAAUAUUGAAUUUAUGACAAAAACAGCUGAUGAAAUAAACACUGCAUUGAUUUGAAUAAAACGCCCUAUCAUUCUUUAAUUUAUUUUUCAAUAAGUAGGAUGGAUUGGGAUUAACAGUGACUGUUUUAAAAAAGUUUAAUCAAAUUUAGAUUUUAAGUUUUGGGACGACCUGUAACUCAAGCUUAGAUCUGGAUCCAGCAAUUUCACAAAUGACUCAUAUGCAGCUCAGCAUAACCCAAAAUCAAAGUGCUGCUCACCCCCUAUGACUUGAACUGCCUUUGCCCUCGAAGUCCUAUUAAACUCCACAUUUUGUAUUUUUCUCUCUGUUAUAUCUAAUUAAAUAUUAUUUGUCUUACAGUGUAAAAAUCUCUGUCACGAUAACAAGGAUGCUUCUUUUAAGCAAUGUUUUAAGCAUCCCUCUGCAGGCCUCUAUUUAUUUGCUGCAUCCGGGUUUUCUAACACUGAUUUUUGAGUGAGUUGCAACAAAGAGAAGAAAUGCAAUAACAAAAAUAAUGAGAAGAUGUGAAAAAAAAACGGAAAAAAAAUUACAAUUCUAGAUUUUACUUUUACCUUUUCCACUGUCCCUGUCUGCUUUUGCCUCUUUUUGCAACCCCCCCUCCUCCUUUCAUUUUUUUCUGUCUUUUUCACUCUCCUUUUCUCAGUUUUCUUAGACACCUGUGCAGGUUUAAUGUUUCAGCCCAGUCCCUGAAAAAUAAAUGUGGAGCUCCAAUCUCUUAAUCCACUCGGCUCCACGCAGCCACGUCACAUGACACUGCCACGGCCGCCCUGAUGCCCAGACAACACUGGAGGGAGAGAUUGUUUUGUCUGAGUGUGUGUGUGUUUGUGUGUGUAAAUGAAUGAACAGCUAAGUUUGUGUGUGAGGUAAAGAGAGUCAUAAGAAAAUGCUGGUGUUAGUUGGGUUUGUAUUUUUUAUUCAUGUGUCUGUCUGAGUGUCUGGAUACUGUUUGUGUUUAAGGAGAGGAACUAAAGUCGGGAAAGGGGAGGAAGACUAAUCUCUUUUCAUUCAAAUCAAGGUCCUUGGUCCACUUUUCUGUGUGUGUGUGUGUGUGUGUGUGUGUGUGUGUGUGUGUGUGUGUGUGUGUGUGUGUGUGUGUGUGUGUGUGUGUGUGUGUGUGUUUAGGGAUGAUACCCUAUCCACAGCAAUCAGUCUGACCUCCACUCUGGAGUGAACUGCUCUCAAUGAUUAAUGGAUCUGCCUCCGUGCUCGGUCACCAAGGCAACCCGAAACCCGAUAGCCCUCAGGAAUUCGCUAGCUCGCCCUCAAUGUUAGACUGCAUGUGUGUGUAUGUGUUGCUAGGCUGUGGGUGGGAGGCAGUGUAAGGCUAAAUGUGACUCUUUGGAAAGAUGGAGUUGGUUGUAGUUUAUAGUAGAAAAGUCAAUUUUGUGUUUUCAGUCCUUUUAUUGUUUCUGUAAGAUUUUUUUUAAAUAAUAAAUAUCACUAACUUGAGGUUUUGGGGCUUAUUUAAUUAUUACAUUUUAUUUUAGGGGCAUGUAAUAUCAAACAAUGAUCAUACCAACCUCCUGGAGGGAUUUGCCAUCUCAAAUUGACAUAAUUCAGUAUUUGGUUGUCUUCUUUGUGCCAAACAGUCGUCUAAACAACAAAGCCUAGGCGGCAUCAGUGAUUGUGUCUUUAUUUAGUGAUUGUACGUUUGUGUAUGUACUGUUACAGUGUGUAUGCUUAUGUGGCCAUAUGUCCAUCUGAUGAGUAAAUCCAUGUUAACAAGAUGGCAGCUCUUAAGUUAAAGUGCUGCAGCUCAGCUAGCAGACUGGACAUUAAACGCACCAACUUGACAAUAAGGUGUUAUUUCAAAGGGGCCACUUAACACCUUAUUGAUCUAGAGACCAUAGGGGCUCAUUAGAAGAUGGCUCAGAGUUACUGCGGUGUACUUGUAACACAGUCUGAUGCUUUCGUGACAAUGUCAAAACAAUCUUAGAGAUCUUUGUUUUUACUAUUUCACCCCAAUAGUUCACUGGUAUCAAAGAUGUGUACAGUAGGGGUGGGAGAAAAAAAAUUGAUACAGCAUUGUAUCGUGAUAUUUUGUCUGGUGAUAUAUCGUAUCGUUUCAUUUACCAAGUAUCAAUUUUUCAAAUUAAUUCAUAUGUAGUCAAAUCUAUGAUAAUGGAAAAAUAAAAUCAACUGUUUGUCCAGUGAGGUGACAUCAUAGAGCAAGGUAAAGUUAGUACAACAAAAAUAUACAUAUUUAAGGUUUGCAAGAUGUGCUACAUGAAAAUAAAAUACAGCGCAAAUAAGACAAACACAAAGGAAAGCCAAAUGCUAAAUCAGCUAAACAGUUUAAAAAUUGUAUGAAUUGCGAUAUAUUGUAUCCCAAUACUCACAGUAUCACAAAAUGUUAAAAAAUUGCAAUAAUAUUGUAUCGCGGCCCAAGUAUCGUGAUAAUAUCGUAUUGUGGGGCCACUAGUGAUUCUCACCCCUAGUGUACAGAGAGAGCUUUAACACUGAGUGACUCUGAUAGUCAUUACUUCUUAAGCAAUAUUCUCACUGUUUGUCUUGGAUAAUUUACAAACAUGAACAACAACAAAGAAAAAAGGUAGAUAAUGUUGCACAGGGAUAAUGAAAGUUGGCGUCAUUGUUCAAGAGCAACGACCCACAACAAGUGUCUACCUGUAGAGGCUUCGACAGAAAUCAUGUGAACAAACAGAUAACAUUGUUAAAUGUCAUUGAGGUGAAUUGCUACAUCAUUUAAGUUGAACUGCAAACAGUGGUGGCCAACUCCCAAAUUCCUGAUUAAUUUCUCAAGAAAGAUCUGUGGUUUCUUUUUUUUUUUCUCAUUUCUUAUCUACUGUGGUUCCCUGGAAAAGGCAUGCACGUGAAACACACUGACACAGUGCUUUAAUAACUCCACAUUCUCUUUGUCUGUGGCCUUGUUGGAAACAUUUUAGAUAGUUCAAUAUUUCAAUACUCAGCUUGUUGGGUGUAUUUUUUGUCAUCUGGAUAUGUAAUGAUAUAAUCAGUUUUAGAUUGUUUGUGAGGCUUGGGGCCAAGACGUAACACCGUAUAAUAGAUAUGAAAACAUCAUGGCGUGUGUGUAGAGCUGUGAUAUGUCUAAUGAAAGAUAUUUUCUGAUGAUUCCUAAACAGCUGAGAUUGGAUUGAAUUAUUCAGCAGAGAUCAUUCACUUGUAAGUCGAAUCCUUUGUGAGAGUUCAGGAUAAUUCUUAGGAACACAUAAGUAACUUCGAGUUGUGUUUGGGCCAAGUAUUAAGUGUGUUUUUGUGUGUUUUGUAUAUGUGUGUGUGCAGGUAUCUUGUAUCAGAACUGAUGUGUGUGAUGAAGGGUGAAUCUCUGGCAGGAAACCACAAAGACCAGACCAGAACUCUCAGCUUCAUGUUAUCACAUCUGUGAUUUCUCCUGAGUUUUGCAUCAUCAUAGUGAAAGUGUUGCUGUCAAUAAAAGUCAACUUUAUAAUUUGCUCUCUCCUCAUUUCUUUUCCUGAACACUGCAGACCACACCUCAGCCUCUUACACUUGAUACAAAACACUAAAAAUGUGCAGUAGUCUAGUCUAUGAAAUUAGCAUUUUGAUGAAGGGGAAUAAUCAAGUACCAAAACGAAGACUUCUUGUCAUUUACAUUGUAAUAUUUCAUCUGAAAUUAACUUCCUCUGUCUAUAAGUUACAUUUCCAUAAGUAUUAAUUCUGAGGAAUAAUUUUUGUUUAUAAUUCCCUUACAGACAAAACUCUACUAAUAAAGAGCACUGAACUACAGCAGAAUUUGUCUGAUGAGUUCAGCAGAUACUCCAAGUCCAAGAUUUAUUUCUGAUUUAGUCUCACUGAGUUUUUCAGAAAAGAUACUGAUCAGAUGAUGCCGAUGUAUGAGUUUGUGUGCGUGUGUUUUUGUAUGUCUCUCUCUUUGUCUAUGUGUGUACGUGCUGAGUGACGGGCGCAGCGGGGGUAUCUGUGACAGUGUGUCAGGCAUGUAAACCCAGCCUGACCUGGUCUGCUUUGGCCCUUCAGGUCCCUUAGCAGAAACACACGUACGCACAAAAACACACACACAUACGAAGACACAAACACGCAAUUCUCUUGUUUCUCAGUGCCCGUGAAGCUUCCUGAGCUCUCACACAUGAAACGUCUUUGUCAUAAGGGUAAUGCUGUCAGACUAAAACUUGUGGUAGAGAUCAAAACUCUGUGAAAAUGUGUGAAAAUACCUCACCACUAACUACCACCAUACAGCAAGGCUAUUGGCCACAGCAAUACAAACAACCUAUCCACCUACAAAAGCUAUGGUGUGCAUUUACUACAACGCCUUUUAUAAUGUGUCAAUAAGAUUUUUUUUAUAAAGUUCACCACACCUCUGUAAGAAAAAUGGCAGUGAAACACAAAGUUACAGGAUGCACGAUAAACAUCAGUUUUAAAAUUUUUGCAUGAUAAAACUGUCUAUGUUUGCAAGUCUAUAUGUGGGAUUUUAUGACAAAUUUAGCAAGACAUAUGACUUAAGAUCACAAAAGUGAAAUUCAGCAUCUUAAGUUUAAUGUCAUAUGUAUCUGGGUGCUUGAAAAUGUAAAGCAGUGAGUGCCUGCAUGUGUGUGUGUGUGUGUGUGUGUGUGUGUGUGUGUGUGUGUGUGUGUGUGUGUGUGUGUGUGUGUGUGUAUGUGCAUGUACACACAAACUUGCACAGUUUAAGAGUAUGUAACUAGAAAGAAACUGGAGUCAGAUGGAGUUCAAGUGAACAUACAGUCCAGUAUUUCCAACCACUGAGGCAAAAGCAGCAGAAAUGUUUAAUCAUAGUGGAACAUCAGAAAUAAAGACACUCUGUGUCUCUGCCCGGGAAUGAGUGGAGACCAGAAAGUACAGUAAAAUGUUUGUUUAUGGGUGUGUGUGUGUUUACACAUGACUAUUUAAUUGUUUGUGACACUGAAGUGAAGUCUCAGGCCAUCUUGUUGUAAUUUCAUAAUCCUUAUAUGUGGAGGGACACAGACAGAGUAAAGGUGAGUGUGAGAACGUGUGUGGCUCUUUGUCCGUGUGUUAAGGAUGUGUGUGUGUAUGUGGUGAAAUAAAGAAAGCAUGAAUCUCAGGUCAGAUUAUGUGUCACAGCUCGGUUAAACUGUGUGACAAUGAACCACAGCAUCAUUGAUUGGAGCUGUCACUUGGAGAUGAAUAGCAGAAAGAGAUGUAGUUCAGUGGUAUUAUGUUUAAGUUACUCUGUCAGCCCGUCUUUCACACUCUGAGCUCUGAAGAGCGGCUGAAAUUAGUCAUAAUCAAAACACUGACGUCUCUGUCUCCUGCCGCAGUGACAGCACACAGCUGUGUCCUCCAAGUUCAGUGUGGGGUGUGUUUAUGUCAGUGCACUUGUGUAAAAUGAGUGUCCAUACAUCACGUCUGUAGAUGUGUGUAGGUGGAGUACAGCAAAGUGUGCAGAUUCUCAUUCACUAUAGUAGCAUCUAAGAGGGCAGUGCAGCACCUCUGCAGCCAAAGUGUAUCAAUGAACAUUAGUACCGAUGUUUGUGGCAACUUAUGGGGCAUAAUGUUUACAAUGAAAAGCAUGAUAGAUGACUGCUAGGUUUUAUUUUACUGCGUUCGAUUAGUAAAAAAAAAAAAAAAACUGCCUUGUGCAAUAAAUAACUUCAGCCUUCACUACAGGUGGAAAUAUGCUGAUUUAUCACUAUCAGGUCAUGUCCAGGUUGAUCUAUUAUGUCAUGUAUCAAAACUCUAAACUCUGGAGCAAAAGGUGAAAACACGAACAACUUUACAGCUCUUUACUUUUUUUGUAUGUACUAUUUAACGUACGGAUACAAGCCUGACGUGGGAACUGUGGAGCGUGCACAGAGGCAAGUUACAAGUACAUUUGUGAUGUAUAGCUAAAGAAGAAAAUUUAUCCUUCAUGGUAUUAUUUCAGUAUUAUGUCAGUCCUAACAGUGAGAAAUUCAAUUUAGCGUAGUUGUAGUCAAACCAAAGUUUUUACAUGUAUUAAAAAAAAAGUCAAUUUUCAGUCAACAGUGACUGAAAAUUCAUUUUUUCUUUGACAUCAUGUAACAUACUGAUUUUAACAUAUUGUUUGUCCAUUUUUUUUUCAGAACUGGAAGAAAAAAAACACAAAAACUUCCACAUGAAGGAACCACAGCAUCAGUGAAGAUUACAGAGGAGAAUCCAAUCGCAAGAUAUUUUCUAGCCUAAAUUUUUCCAAAAAAAGCACAGAAAGAUCCUCCACUUAUGAAAAGAUACUUCGAUAAUAAAAGGUUUUGUGAUAACAUCACUUCAGAGAUUAAAAGAAAAAUAAGACAUCAUUGUAUUGUUGCAAGUGUUAUUUAAAAGUGUAUUUAUCAAUAAUUCACCCUCAGCAUAUGGUAACUUAUGGGUUAACAUGAUGCAUGCACAUGUGAAUCUUUGCAUGUGUGCUCAAUGAGAAGCCUGACAAAAUGAAAGGCGGCGAGUGGAGCAGGGUUCAGCACGGGCCAGACCUCCAGCCCUAAUCAGGUUACAUGAUUAAUGAGGGGGGGAAAUGGGCUCAUGUUGUAUUAAGAAAAUGUGUGUUUGAACCCAAAGCGGUGGGUAUCAGCAGCCUAAUGCAUCAGCCAUCGACUGGACACCUGAGAUCCACGCUCUGCUGCAGGCGCUGUUAGCUUGCUCCCAGCGGAAGGACACUGCAUCGAUUCACCUCAAACUCCCUCUUAUUCGCUCACUUUCUUCCUUUGCCUCUUUUUUCCCCCUCAUUCUGUCUUUUCAUGCAUUUCUUUUUCACCUUCUUUGUUACAUAUAAUUACUCCUUUUCUCCCUCUCUUUUUUGGUAUCUGUAAUCUGUCUUGCUCUUUUUUUCUAUUUGCUUGGUUUGCAGAAAUCACACAAAAGCAUCAGUGUUUUUCUUUUCAGUGUGAUUUAACUUCAAUACUUGCUAGGGAGCGAUGGCCAGCACUCAACCCUCACAACCCAAACAUCAAACUGUCAUUUAAUCUUUGGUACUCGAGGCUUGUAUGAUAUAUUAGCAAGCACUGAAUGAACGUGCAGACGCAACAGGACUUCUUUCUGGCCUGAUUUCCAUGACAGGACAAGGGUUUAUUCAUUAUUCAUGUCCUCAAGUUUCCACUAAAAAAGUAUUUAAAAACUCAUUUGAAGGUUCUGAUGUCAAAACAAGAUUUCCUUUGUAAGUAGGUGUACAGUUUCAUAUCUGAAGUGAAUUCUGUGUUUUUUGCAGGUCCUUGAAGCUGUCUGUAUUUGGACACUCUCUGGGGAGGUGAGCUGUUUCAUGCACAGUAGCUGCAGCACUCUCACAUUCAGACGCAGGAGCUGAUGACUGAUUAGUCUAGAUUUGAACACAAACAAACCUGAUCCUCGCUCAUUUUCCCCUGAAACAAUAUGCAGUUUUUUAUCUUAUCAACAGCAGUAAUCAUGGCAAAAUAAAUUAGAGAGUUACAUUAAUAUGUUGGAGUUGAUUCCAGCUUGUGCUGCUGAAUUAAAAUCCCCUGAACCUCAAACAGCCUGUUCUGUACAGCACCAAGGAGUGCCUGUCAUUUUAAAACUUCAACCAGUGUAUCAAAACAUCAAAAAUUACUCUUAAGCUAAUAACAAUAAUAAUAAUAAAAAAUCCUACAAACUAUGAUUUCGCAGGUUUCCUCUGUAACUGAAGAAGUUUUGCUGUCUUUAAUUAUUUGUAAAAGUUACAAAAUUAUAUUUGCUGGAGAGAUCCCGACCCCUCAUAUACAUAAAUAUAACAAUAAUAAAGAAAGCAUAGUAUGAUAAGUUUACAUCACAUGAUCUUCUAAGAGGUUAAACAUUAACUAACAACUAUUGUGAUUUCAAUCGUUAAAUUGAUGAAUAAACUUAUCAGAAAAUUAAUUAAAUAUAACUUAAUGGUUCUUAUUUAACCUACAGUUUUAACAUUUAACAUUGUUGUUGUAAUUUGAAAACUUAAUUCAAGUCAUAUUUUUGUCUUGGUUUAAAGACAUCUAGUGUGAAUGUGAGGUGAUUCUUUUAUGUUUUUGAAUUUUUCAAAAAAUUUAUGGGGAUUAUUUUUUGUUGAGAAGAAAGGACAGUGGACAAAAUAAGAGGAUAGAGUCGGGAUUUACAUCUAGUGCAGGGUCACAAGCUGGAGUCCAACCUAGACUGCACACUUCCUGGACCUCAUGUUGUCAUGGACUAAUUAUCAUCAACUUAAUUUUCCAGCGACUGAUUUUGUUGUUUAUUUUUUUGUAGACAGUGUUGACUAAUCAUUGUAUCUCACAUAAGAGGGCUGACAGACUCGGGGGAACUAUGAUCAGGUUGCAGCAACUUUUCACAUCAAACUGGAGAUGUUUUUCUCCUACAAGUUGCAAGUUCUAACCUGUUAAUACGACUUCGUCUGUGUUUGUUUUUGUAGGUUUUUAUGUGAGAUGGGGUUUACAACAUUUCUGGUUUGUUUUGGAGCCUAAAAGAUGUAUUUCUUGUUUUCAGGAAGAAAACAAAAAAACACUUUUGAUCCCAAAAAACUUUUAAAUAUGAGCAAAUUCCCAUAAUCUGGCAUCACUGAAUUUAUUCAUUUACAACUUUUGGUGUUCAGGAAAUAGCUGUUCACCAAGGUGUUUGUUUGAUUCGAUCUUUAGUCAGCAUUUUUUAAGUGCUUGUAUUUGCUGAGUUUCAAAUAAAAAUGAAAAAAAGUUGUACUCAGUUUCUUCCUGCGUUUGAGUUUUAGUUGUUUCGAUUAAGUAGAAAAAUGUUCAUUUGAGUCAAAAUUUAAAAAAAUCUGAUAGUCCUAUAGGGGGUCAAGUAAGCGAGGGAUGAAGGUUAUGGUGAGUGGGAGACCAGAGGGUCACGGGGUCCAUAAAGUAUCCUGCUGGCAGCAUCAGGUGUGUCUCCUCAAAGUGAAAGCUAAUGGUGUUUAGCAGUGUAAACGGUGAAGAAAAUGGAUUGAAAUCAGGACAAAGAUGAAGUUUUUCUCCUUGUGGUGUCGUUUACUCUCUGGCUCAUGUGAAAAUGCCAGAUUAAUGAAUAAUCAGUGUGCAGUCUGUGUUUGCUCUCCUCAACUCAACCAUCAUCUCCAAUGAGAUAGUUUACUCUGAAAAGUUCAGUUACUGACUCUCACAAAGGAGAAGUAUGAGGCGUUCAUUAAAACAAAAUAACCCGCAGCUCUGAGAAUCAAAGCAAUAACGCAGACGGGAUAAAUAAAUAAAUGAAUGAAAUGAUGAUCAUGGAGGAGAGUCAGAGAAACAUUGAAGAGACCGCUAGAAAAACCCUGCAGAUAUGGAAACAAACCUGCAAUAUAUAGACAGACGAUUAGCGUAGCAUGUCAUCAGUAAAGAUGAUUCACUGUCUUAGCGUCUCUCUCUGAUGCACAUAGACAUGAAUGCACACGCACACGCACGAAUACACACAGACUCCCCUUAUGGAUUCUGCAAAUCCAGCAAGGAAAAUAUCUGUGUUUUGAAAGUAUUACCAGUCAUAUUUUCAUAUUUCUUUCCCCCCGCUGUUAUAAUUUUCUCCCCUGUCAAACAAAUCAAAACGCCAAGACCAAACGGAGGCUGAGGGAGCGGCUCACAUUUUCCACUGUCAGGUUCACAAACGCUGCUCUUACAAACAGGCUCUGUGCAGGGAGACAUGACCUGUGAAUAUUUCUGUGUGUGUGUGUGUGUUUGUACGUGUCUGUACGUGUGUGAGUAUAAGAUGGCCAUAUGCUGAAUUUCAGGUCAGUGAAAGGAGUGCAGCUCAGUCUGAUUAAACUGUAUUAUUUUACUAAUGCAGACGUUAAAAAGACAUCAGAAUUUUUUUUUUUUGGAAAUUUUUUCCUUUAAAUUAUUUAAAAUUAAAAAUAAUUCUGUUAGAGAAAAAAAAAGAAAAAACUUAAAGCUCCUGUAAGGUCUUUUUUGACAUUUGUGAAAAUGAAUAAAACUGAUAUUGAUAAAUAUUUAUGAUAAACGAAAGCAAAAAGGACCACCAGCCACAAGAUUGUUUAUUUUUAUGUUGUGAUUUUAACCCCUAAAACUGGUGUGCGGGGGAAGGGGGGAAGGGUUCCUCACAGGAGCUUCAAACUCAAUUCAAAACUCAUUAUUCCAGUCAAUAUAAUUCAAUUGUAUAUGACUACAUUACUUAAGUUUUAUAUAUAGGGAAAUCAAGUAAGUAGUCAGUCUAUCCUCUAAUAUAUGCUUAGUGUAAAACUGUGCGAGUGUAUGUGUUGUUGUUAGAGUUGAAGUUUAGAUUUUAGGACUAGUGAUAGUGUCUGAGCUAAACCAUUUUAGUAGCAAAGUUUUACUCUUUUUAAUGUAACAAGUGCCUGUAAAACAGAUAUAUUUUCAUACUCAUAUCUAAUCUGCAACUCUAAAUAUCAGCAAGUGUAAAAAAAUUGUAGUAAAAACAGGUUUUCAUACUGCUAAGGAUUGUCAUCAUGACAUAAAGAGGCUAAAUUCAAUAUUCUCAACUAUACUGAUGUUCUCCAAAGAAGCAUCCUGCCACACUUAACUGAAACUAAAUAUAUAAAACAAAAAAAGGAAAGUAGGCAUGGUCAACUAGAGUCCCUUUCAUCGGCCAAACAGGAUAGCGAGGCGAUCUGCUGCCUCCUGGUUACAUUUCCCUUUAGAGCAACAUUCAUCAUCAAAGGGUCAAAGGUCAAGAGAUUCAUCAAAAGAGUUUGUGCAGUGUGAGGUACACAGAGGAGCCUCUCAAGAUUAGAGACGGCCUGCUGUGUUUAUGGCAGUCUGCAUUAAGAACUCUCCCAUCAUCACCCGCGCCUGCUCUGUGUGAACUCAUCAACCAAUCCAUUUGGGUGAGACACUUAACCAUCAAACAGAGAGAGAGAAAGACAGAGAGAGAGAGAGAGAGAGAGAGAGAGAGAGAGAGAGAGAGAGAGAGAGCGCACUCUGCACACACUGAAGAAGGAGAGUUUUCAAGAUGUACUUUUGUCAGUUUAGAGAGAUGUUUUCCCGAGAGCUGUUUUCCCCCUUCUGCUUGUCUGUUUCUUUUUUUAGGCUUUAACUCUUUCGAAAGGCUCACUAUGUGAAAGAAAAUAUUUGUUUCAUGAUCAAGAAACACUCAAAAGUACACGAAUUUCUGGACAUCCAAAACUUCCAAAUACUUUAAAUAAGCUACAGUGAAUCUAACAUGACUUUUUAAUGAUUUGUCAGUUGAAAAUAUUUCAAAAUCUUUCAUUAAUGUCUGAACAAGAAAAAAAAAACAGACAAGAGAAAAGAUGCACCGUUUUCAAAAUCCAUGAAAGUGGUUAAAAUGAAGAAAAUAAAAGAAAAAAAAUACUCCAAUCUUGUUUACAGUCAUUAGUACUUCAAAUUUCCUGUGUUUUAUCCAAGCCCUUGCACUGCUAAUCCUCUUCGUCUACAGCUCAGAGACAGUUUGUAGCCGUAUGUUACUCAUCCACAGACUACACUGUACAUGAUGCCUAUUGUGUUUGACAUGCGUUGAUUGCUAGACAACCAGUGUUGAAGAGAAACUCGCCCCGAGCAUCUGAGUGUUCUAUUUAGCACAUUAUUGUGGUUUCCAUAUUAAUUUUAAUAUGAUGUCUGUUUCAGUUUGUGCAACCAAGUCGAGAGUUAGGGUUACCAAAACUAUCCCCAUGAUGAAUGUUGGAAAACUGAAGUUAAGUUCCCAUCUUUCAUUGAUAAAAUGAAGUCUACAUAUCUUCAUGUUCUUGCCUAAGGAUGUUGGCUCCAUUAGCUGAUGUUUGGACACCUGUAGGGGCUCGAGACUCGGCGAGCCGAGCUGUCAUCGAGGGGCUUUGGUAAAUCGAGAGAUUAUCCAAACAGUGGGACACUAGCUAAUAAAAACAUGCCCCCCCCUUACCCACCCAGUUCUCUGCAUUAGUGUUGCAUUAGCGCAGAGGGUGCAGAGAAUGGGCGACACAGGGGUUAGAGUGAUGCAUAGUUUGAAGCUACUAAAGGGAUCUUCCGUAAAUUAUUAGUUACUUAUCACAGGCUUGAUUUGUUACAGGAAUAACUGGAGUCUCUUUCUGUCAGAGGAUGAUAGGGGUGUGCAGCUCUGUGACGCAUGUCUGUAGGACAGAAAUAAUGUAAAAGUAAGUGUUGUUAGGGAAUGAUUUUACAAGAAUAAUUAAGAAUGAUAAGUUGGUCUAACUGGUAAAAAUCUAAUUAAUAAAGACAAAGAAGGAUUUGUGAUGCAGCCAGUUCACAAAUAUUGAAAUCAUCUUACUGUGAUGCAUGAGACAGCUUGGAAAACAUCAAAAUCAUAUUCUAAUCAUGUUUUCUAUUGAACAUACUCCUGUAUAUGUUUAUUUUUAGAAGUUUCACAAAUUAACUGCAACUAAAAAUAUUCAAGUCAAUAAAAAAAAGAAGUAAAACUGCUCAAUAAGGGAUUCAUCCGUAGUUUAGUCAGUCUGGGAAAUUUGAAAUAACCUUUAUCCAUUUGUUCCUUCAAAAGUUAUUACGAUCUCUGAAAAAAUCAAUGACGUCAGGUGACAAAGAAAUAAUUAGGAAGUUGCCUGUUUUACGGCUGUCUGAGCGCGUGUGUGUUUGUGUGUGCAGGGCCAAAGAGCACAGUGAGCACAGUAUUCUCUGUGCAGCCGUACAGCAGCCACACUCAUGGUGUGUAGUCUGGUCAUGGGCAUAAACUUCAAUUUCUGUCCAUGACAUUUAUUAACUCCUACAAAUACAACAGCAGCUUUUUUUUUUCUCAAGGCACGGAAAAUGAAAUCAUUUAAUUUCCUUCACGUAACCUUGUUUUUUUUCAGACUGUCUCAGGGUGAAUUGAGGGAAAGGUUUCAAUGCAUGAAAUCAUUUGUUUACACAGUGAAAUGCCUCCUUUUCCACCAGCAACCAACACGGCGUAGGUGCCUCAACACACUGUAAUCCAUUUAUGCAGUCUGUUAAUAUAUGGCAGAGGGGUUAAGGGUUUAAUUCAAAACAAAUUAGAUCAGUUAAAAUAGAUCUGCUUCAUGUGAUUUACUGCUGCAUGCAGAUUUUUCACUGCCUUUAACUUUAUUUUUCAUAAAAGCUUGUGCAUCAUCUGAAAUAACUAAGAAACUAAUAACUAAGAAAAUGCAUUAGAUCAAUGUAUCACUUGUUUAUUUAAAGAUGUGCAAAUACUCACUGCAUGCAUGGCAUAAACAAGUUUAAUGCCAAUAAACGAGGAAUGGUAACGCCAUUAGGAUGUAAUUGCAGGUCUCUGAGGUGGUCAGGACACUGCUGGUAAUAACAGUCAGAGAGAGCGAAUCUGCCUUUUAUUAAAAACUGCUUUGGUGAUGGGGAGUAAAUUCAUUAUCUGACUCUAUUAGCUCAGCAAAGCGGGAAUAAAGUGGAAGAGAGGUACUGCAAAACGCCUCAGGCUAAUGUAGACUGUGUGUUUGUGUGUGUGUUCAUCUCAAUUCAUACAUAAUCAUGUCUUUAGAUUUACCUCAGCAGCUUAAACCAGAUUUAGACUUCCAUAAAAAAAAACAUACUAUCAUGCAUGAGCUAAAUACAGGAGGUAUAAGGUGUAAAAAAAUGUCUCUUAUGUUCAUCAGGUCGUGUGUUUUUAGCCAUAAAUAUAACAAGAAAAAUUAAAAUGAAAAAUGAAAAAAACAAGCAUCCCUGGCUUGAGUCACACUAAUGCACUAUGUUCAAACAUACACACAUUGAAGUACAGUAUACUCAGAGAUCAUUAAUCAUAAGUACAUACACGAUCAUUCAUAUCAGAGGAAACAGGCAAUCUGCCGCUCAUCUCCUCUAUCCUCCCAUCCUGCCUGGAUUUACAACAGAGUCCAUUUCAGCUCAUACACAGCCCCUCAUCUCCCUCCACUUUACUCAAGUCUCUGCCUCCACCAGCCUGUUUCUCCUUAUAUCUCAAAAUAAUCCCCCCAAAAAGCCUCUGCGGGUCUGUUUCCCUGCUCUUUUAGAGCAGAAACACAAUGGCUGCUAAGCUACAAGUACAAGCCAGCAGAGGAGAUCAGUCAGUUUGAUGAAUGCAGUCACAUCUGUUGAAGAUUUCCUCUGCAGAUAAAGUGAACACUUACUGGUUUUUAGGGGUUUUCUUUUCCCAUUAUUCCCACUGCAGCGAGAUUAAUCUAAAUCUUUUUUUUUUUUUUUUUUUUUUAACAGAGGGUUUCGGACAGUUAUGUUUGAGAAUGAAAAAAAAAGACCUUCAAGAAUAUCGACAAAGAUUUCUGACACCUAAAGACCAGGUUAGUGUUGUUUCAUCUUCUUUCACAUCUUUUCUCUGAUCUUAAAAAUAUGUUAGUGAUGACACUUGUGAAUAAUCUUUGGAUUGUAUUUACAUUAACUGGCACUAAAGCACCGGACAAUUCCUAUCUCUGAAAGCCAUGCCAGUCUCAACAGGAAUAAGGCAUUAGCAUGUUUAAUUUAACCUCAUCAGCUUGUUUCUUCUUUGACACUUUUCCUUCUUUUCCCUUCAGUGUGCUGCUGCGUGAAGACUAGAGGUGAAUAAUUUGUUGUGUGGUGGUGACAGUGGAGGUAGGAACCCACAGGGGUUUAAAGAGAGGACCAUGUGGGCCUAUCAGGUUACAGUAUUGACCCGAGGUCUGGUUUGCGUUGGUAAAAAAAAGAGCAAGGAAUGGGAGG